rnacentral:piRNA from 1 species
UACCUCAAAACUGAAGGCUAGAGAC